GGGUACUUAAUGCAACAGAGUUUUGUUGUAAUCAUUAUUGCAUGCGGUAUUGAUUCACGUAAUAUGUCUGUUUUUUUUUUUUUUUUUUCGUUUUAGAUAUGUUAUUGUUAUCAUGUUAGUAUCAAAUAAGUUAUAAAUGAGAUGAUUCAAAUAUGUUAUAAUGUAAGGAAUAUUAUAUAUUAUUUAAUAAUAUAUCUAAUAAUACAUAUUUUAGUUUUGGGUUUAGACAAUUGCAGCGUGAAUUUUUUUUAUUAAAUAUGUUUUUAGUUCUAUAUUUUGGGACGAUUUU
rnacentral:lncRNA from 1 species